CUAGGAAUCUGCCUGGUAGUGGGGGAUAACGUUCGGAAACGAACGCUAAUACCGCAUACGUCCUACGGGAGAAAGCAGGGGACCUUCGGGCCUUGCGCUAUCAGAUGAGCCUAGGUCGGAUUAGCUAGUUGGUGAGGUAAUGGCUCACCAAGGCGACGAUCCGUAACUGGUCUGAGAGGAUGAUCAGUCACACUGGAACUGAGACACGGUCCAGACUCCUACGGGAGGCAGCAGUGGGGAAUAUUGGACAAUGGGCGAAAGCCUGAUCCAGCCAUGCCGCGUGUGUGAAGAAGGUCUUCGGAUUGUAAAGCACUUUAAGUUGGGAGGAAGGGCAGUUACCUAAUACGUGAUUGUUUUGACGUUACCGACAGAAUAAGCACCGGCUAACUCUGUGCCAGCAGCCGCGGUAAUACAGAGGGUGCAAGCGUUAAUCGGAAUUACUGGGCGUAAAGCGCGCGUAGUGGUUUGUUAAGUUGGAUGUGAAAUCCCCGGGCUCAACCUGGGAACUGCAUUCAAAACUGACUGACUAGAGUAUGGUAGAGGGUGGUGGAAUUUCCUGUGUAGGGGUGAAUGCGUAG
rnacentral:rRNA from 1 species